UACGUAGGGUCCGAGCGUUGUCCGGAAUUACUGGGCGUAAAGAGCUCGUAGGUGGUUUGUCGCGUUGUUCGUGAAAACUCACAGCUUAACUGUGGGCGUGCGGGCGAUACGGGCAGACUUAGUACUGCAGGGGAGACUGGAAUUCCUGGUGUAGCGGUGGAAUGCGCAGAUAUCAGGAGGAACACCGGUGGCGAAGGCGGGUCUCUGGGCAGUAACUGACGCUGAGGAGCGAAAGCGUGGGGAGCGAACAGG
rnacentral:rRNA from 1 species